AAGAGAGCCGUCUAUUGACAGUUCGCUUGUUUCAUGUGCUGUCAUGGAGUCGCUCUCUUCA
rnacentral:pre_miRNA from 1 species